CUCUCUGGGUAACUGCAGAAAAACAGGCCCCUAGCAGGUGGUUAAGACAAGGGGAUCAGAGCCUGGGAAAGAGACACCUCCAGGGGGAUGCCUGGAUUGCUGAUUGCACCAACUGGCUGGUGCCGUGCGGCAGAUACAGAAGACGGAGAAUCGGGCUGUGGGGAAGGAAAUCUCCGUCACAGCUGUGAAUAAAGUAGGCGUCACAGCAAAGGGGGUGACACAGUCAGCCUGGUGAGCCGGCCGGGAGAGACGGGAAGAUAGCAUCGAGGAAGACCGAGGCCCCACCUCUCCAGGCACGGAAGGGGCGACUCCGGGAGGAGAAAGGGGUGACAGAGCCAGAGGGACACAGCUGGGCAGCCGCAGAGGUGCAGAGAGAGAGCUAAGCUACAGCUGGAGUCAAAAACCAAGCUCCGCCUGGCCGAAGCCCCAAACAUGCACGCAGCCAUGCAGCUGCAUCUCGGCAGGCGGCUCCGAACUUGGUGCUGGUGCUGGUUCUGCACCCCAGAACUGACCAGGAUGGACCAAGCUCAUGGAUGAGCAGCACAGCACUGCCCACAUCUGGGACAAGGGACACAAGACGCCAAGGGAGAGACGAGAGCCCUCCUUGCCGACCCCAGGCGUGAAAGCCUGAGACACUGACACUGUCCAGUCAGGGACCUGUGCCUUCCAAGGCCAGCGGCUCACUUCCUGUUAACCACUUCCACGCCAAUUUCGUUCCUGCAGGGCUCUUCCCCCGCAUGAUUAAAUCUUCAGUUAACAA